GGGCACAUGGUGUAGUUGGUUAUCACAUCCGCUUAGCACUCCAGCUUGCGGGGGGUGCCCGGUUCAAUUCCGGGUGUGUCCA